CCUACGGGAGGCAGCAGUGAGGAAUAUUGCUCAAUGGGCGAGAGCCUGAUCCAGCCAAGUCGCGUGAAGGAUGAAGGAUCUCUGGUUUGUAAACUUCUUUUAUAUGGGAAUAAAGUGAGGAACGUGUUCCUUUUUGUAUGUACUAUAUGAAUAAGGAUCGGCUAACUCCGUGCCAGCAGCCGCGGUAAUACGGAGGAUGCGAGCGUUAUCCGGAUUUAUUGGGUUUAACGGGCGCGUAGGUGGUUAAUUAAGUCAGCGGUGAAAGUUUGUGGCUCAACCCUAAAAUUGCAGUUGAAACUGGUUGGCUUGAGUAUAUUUGAGGUAGGCGGAAUGCGUGGUGUAGCGGUGAAAUGCAUAGAUAUCACGAAGAACUCCGAUUGCGAAGGCAGCUUACUAAACUAUAACUGACACUGAAGCACGAAAGCGUGGGGAUCAAACAGGAUUAGAUACCCGUGUAGUC
rnacentral:rRNA from 1 species